rnacentral:rRNA from 1 species
GCAGUCGAGCGAACGGACGAGAAGCUUGCUUCUCUGAUGUUAGCGGCGGACGGGUGAGUAACACGUGGAUAACCUACCUAUAAGACUGGGAUAACUUCGGGAAACCGGAGCUAAUACCGGAUAAUAUUUUGAACCGCAUGGUUCAAAAGUGAAAGACGGUCUUGCUGUCACUUAUAGAUGGAUCCGCGCUGCAUUAGCUAGUUGGUAAGGUAACGGCUUACCAAGGCAACGAUGCAUAGCCGACCUGAGAGGGUGAUCGGCCACACUGGAACUGAGACACGGUCCAGACUCCUACGGGAGGCAGCAGUAGGGAAUCUUCCGCAAUGGGCGAAAGCCUGACGGAGCAACGCCGCGUGAGUGAUGAAGGUCUUCGGAUCGUAAAACUCUGUUAUUAGGGAAGAACAUAUGUGUAAGUAACUGUGCACAUCUUGACGGUACCUAAUCAGAAAGCCACGGCUAACUACGUGCCAGCAGCCGCGGUAAUACGUAGGUGGCAAGCGUUAUCCGGAAUUAUUGGGCGUAAAGCGCGCGUAGGCGGUUUUUUAAGUCUGAUGUGAAAGCCCACGGCUCAACCGUGGAGGGUCAUUGGAAACUGGAAAACUUGAGUGCAGAAGAGGAAAGUGGAAUUCCAUGUGUAGCGGUGAAAUGCGCAGAGAUAUGGAGGAACACCAGUGGCGAAGGCGACUUUCUGGUCUGUAACUGACGCUGAUGUGCGAAAGCGUGGGGAUCAAACAGGAUUAGAUACCCUGGUAGUCCACGCCGUAAACGAUGAGUGCUAAGUGUUAGGGGGUUUCCGCCCCUUAGUGCUGCAGCUAACGCAUUAAGCACUCCGCCUGGGGAGUACGACCGCAAGGUUGAAACUCAAAGGAAUUGACGGGGACCCGCACAAGCGGUGGAGCAUGUGGUUUAAUUCGAAGCAACGCGAAGAACCUUACCAAAUCUUGACAUCCUUUGACAACUCUAGAGAUAGAGCUUUCCCCUUCGGGGGACAAAGUGACAGGUGGUGCAUGGUUGUCGUCAGCUCGUGUCGUGAGAUGUUGGGUUAAGUCCCGCAACGAGCGCAACCCUUAAGCUUAGUUGCCAUCAUUAAGUUGGGCACUCUAAGUUGACUGCCGGUGACAAACCGGAGGAAGGUGGGGAUGACGUCAAAUCAUCAUGCCCCUUAUGAUUUGGGCUACACACGUGCUACAAUGGACAAUACAAAGGGCAGCGAAACCGCGAGGUCAAGCAAAUCCCAUAAAGUUGUUCUCAGUUCGGAUUGUAGUCUGCAACUCGACUACAUGAAGCUGGAAUCGCUAGUAAUCGUAGAUCAGCAUGCUACGGUGAAUACGUUCCCGGGUCUUGUACACACCGCCCGUCACACCACGAGAGUUUGUAACACCCGAAGCCGGUGGAGUAACCUUUUAGGAGCUA